rnacentral:rRNA from 1 species
UACGUAGGGUGCAAGCGUUGUCCGGAAUUACUGGGCGUAAAGGGCUCGUAGGUGGCCAACUAAGUCAUACGUGAAAUCCCUCGGCUUAACCGGGGAACUGCGCCUGAUACUGGUUGGCUUGAGUUUGGGAGAGGGACGCGGAAUUCCAGGUGUAGCGGUGAAAUGCGUAGAUAUCUGGAGGAACACCGGUGGCGAAGGCGGCGUCCUGGACCAAUACUGACACUGAGGAGCGAAAGCCAGGGGAGCAAACGGG